GCUUUACACAUGCAAGUCGAACGGCAGCACGGGGCAACCUGGUGGCGAGUGGCGAACGGGUGAGUAACAUAUCGGAACAUGUCCGGAAGUGGGGGAUAGCUCGGCGAAAGCGGAWUUAAUACCGCAUAUGCCCUGAGGGGGAAAAGGGGGGGAUUCGCAAGACCUCUUGCUUUCGGAGUGGCCGAUAUCGGAUUAGCUAGAUGGUGAGGUAAAGGCUCACCAUGGCGACGAUCCGUAGCUGGUCUGAGAGGACGACCAGCCACACUGGAACUGAGACCCAGGUCCAGACUCCUACGGGAGGCAGCAGUGGGGAAUUUUGGACAAUUGGGGGAAACCCUGAUCCAGCCAUACCGCGUGAGUGAAGAAGGCCUUCGGGUUGUAAAGCUCUUUCAGCCGGAAAGAAAUUGCUUCUAUUAAAUACUAGGAGUAGAUGACGGUACCGGAAGAAGAAGCACCCGGCUAACUACGUGCCAGCAGCCGCGGUAAUACGUAGGGUGCGAGCSUUAAUCGGAAUUACUGGGCGUAAAGCGUGCGCAGGCGGCUUUUUAAGCCANAUGUGAAAUCGCCGGGCUUAAACUGGGAACUGCAUUUGGAACUGGACGGCUAGAGUGUAGCAGAGGGGGGUAGAAUUCCACGUGUAGCAGUGAAAUGCGUAGAUAUGUGGAGGUAUACCAAUGGCGAAGGCAGGGCCCCCUGGGUUAACACUGACGSUCAUGCACGAAAGCGUUGGGGAGCAAACAGGAUUAGAUACCCUGGNAGUCCACGCCCUAAACGAUGUCAACUAGGUGUUGGGGAAGGAGACUUCUUUAAGUACCGCCAGCUAACGCGUGAAGUUGACCGCCUGGGGAGUACGGUCGCAAGAUUAAAACUCAAAGGAAUUGACGGGGACCCNCACAAGCGGUGGAUUAUGUGGAUUAAUUCGAUGCAACGCGAAAAACCUUACCUACCCUUGACAUGUCAGGAAGAUUCCAGAGAUGGGAUUGUGCCCGAAAGGGAACCUGAAMACAGGUGCUGCAUGGCUGUCGUCAGCUCGUGUCGUGAGAUGUUGGGUUAAGUCCGGCAACGAGCGCAACCCUUGUCAUUAAUUGCCAUCAUUCAGUUGGGCACUUUAAUGAGACUGCCGGUGAUAAACCGGAGGAAGGUGGGGUAAUGACGUCAAGUCCUCAUGGCCCUUAUGGGUAGGGCUUCACACGUAAUACAAUGGUCGGUACAGAGGGUUGCCAACCCGCGAGGGGGAGCCAAUCCCAGAAAGCCGAUCGUAGUCCGGAUCGGAGUCUGCAACUCGACUCCGUGAAGUCGGAAUCGCUAGUAAUCGCGGGUCAGCAUGUCGCGGUGAAUACGUUCCCCGGUCUUGUACACACCGCCCGUCACACCAUGGGAGUGGAAUCUGCCAGAAGUAGGUAGCCUAACCGCAAGGGGG
rnacentral:rRNA from 1 species